rnacentral:lncRNA from 1 species
CCUGUGGCAAAGCUAAUCAAGAAACUGAUUAUCACCAUACUGUAUGGAGGUUCCUUAAAAAACUAAAAAUACAGUUGCCAUAUCCAACAAUCCCACUCUUGGCACAUAUCCAGACAAAACUGUAAUUUGAAAAAAUACAUGUACCCCUAUGUUCAUAAUAGCACUAUUUAUGAUAGCCAGGGCAUGGAAACAUUGUAAAUGUCCAAGAACAGAUGAAAGGAUAUGAAGAUAUGGUGCAUAGAUAUACAUAUAAUUGAAUAUAACUCUUCCAUCAAAAAGAAUGAAAUAAUGUCAUUUGCAGCAACAUGAAUGGAUCUAGAGGUUAUCAUACUAAGCAAGAUAAAAAAGACAAAUACUAUGUGAUAUCACUUAUAUGUGGUAUCUAAAGUACAACACUAAUCAAUAUAUCCAUGAAACAAAAAUAUACUUACAGAUAUAGACAACAGCCUUGUGUUUGCCCAGGGGGAAAGGAAAGUAAGGAAGGGAAGGAUUGGGAGUUUGAGAUGAGCAAAGGCAAAUUAUUAUAUAUAAGAUGGAUAAACAAGGUCUUAGGGUGUAGCACAGGGAAAUAUAUUCAAUAUCCUUUGACAAACCAUAAUGGAAAAGAAUAUGAAACACACACACACACAAGCCACUUUGCUGUACAGCAGAAAUGAACACAACCCUGUAAAUCAACUACUUAAAUAAUUUUUUGAAAAGUUAGUUUUAAGACACAUGGUAAACAACAAAGACAAAGAAAAUGAUAUCUCAUAUUAAGAAUGAAAAAAAUACCCCCUCACACCAUGCGCAAAAAUAAACUCAAAAUGGCUUCAAGACUUACGCAUAGGACAAACACCAUAAAACUCCUAGAACGUAGGCAAAACAUUCUCUGACGUCGACUGUACAAAUAUUUUCUUAGGUCAGUCUCCCAAGGCAAUAGAAAUAAAAGCAAAAAUAAACCAAUGGGAUCUUAUUAAACUUAACAAGCUUUUGCACAGCAAAGGAAACCAUUAAAAAAAAAAAAAAGACAACCAACAGAAUGGGGGAUAAUAUACACAAAUGAUGCAACUGAUAAAGGCUUAAUCUCCAAAAUAUAAAAACAACUCAUACAGCUCAAUAGCAAAAGAUGUACAGUAGAAAAAAAAAUUGUAUUGGGGAAAUAACAAAAAAAUUUAAAAAAGAACAAAUAAAUGAACAAUAAUUAUAAUGGGAAACAACAACAACAAACGACCCAGUUGAAAGUGGAUAGAGACCUAAAUAGACAUUUCUCCAAAGAAGACAUAGAGAUGGCCAACAGGCACAUUAAAAAAUGCUCAAUGCUCAGACACAACUUAGAAUAGAUUUACAAGGAGAUCCUGCUGAAUAGCAUUGAGAACUAUGUCUAGAUACUCAUGUUGCAACAGAAGAAAGGGUGGGGGGAAAAAUGUAAUUGUAAUGUACACAUGUAAGGAUAACCUGACCCCCCUGCUGUACAGUGGGAAAAUUUAAAAAAAUAUUAAAAAUAAAAAAAAAAUAAAAAAAUAAUCCUCACACACAAAAAAAUGCUCAACAUCACUAAUUAUUAGAGAAAUGCAAAUCAAAACUACAAUGGAUACCACAUCACACAGAUAAGAAUGGCUAUCAUUAAUAAGUCUACAAAUAACAAAUACUGGAGAGGGUAUGGAGAAAAGGGAACCCUCUUCCACUGUUGGUGGAAAUGUACAUUGGUACAACCACUGUGGAAAACAGAUAGAGGUACUUCAGAAAACCAAAUAUAGAACCACCUUAUAAUCCAGCAGUCCCAUUCCUGAGCAUAUAUCCAGACAAAACUUUCAUUCAAAAAGAUACAUGCACCCCUAUGUUCACUGCAGCACUAUUCACAACAGCCAAGACAUGGAAACUACCUAAAUAUCCAUCGACAGAUGAAUGGAUUAAGAAGAUGUGGUAUAUAUACACAAUGGAAUACUACUCAGCCAUAAAAAAGAACAAAAUAAUGCCAUUUGCAGCAACAUGGAUGCAACUAGAGAUUCUCAUAUUAAGUCAGAAACAGAAAGACAAAUACCAUGUGAUAUCACUUAUACGUGGAAUCUAAAAUAUGGCACAAAUGAACCUAUCAAAGAACAGAAAUAAACUCAUGGACAUAGAGAACAGACUUACUUGUGAUUGCCAAGGGGGAAGGAAAGGGAGGGUAUGGACUGGGAGUUUGGAGUUAGUAGAUGCAAACUAUUGCAUUUGGGAUGGAUAAUCAAUGAGUCUGGCCGUAUAGCACAGGGAACUAUAUCCAAUCACUUGUGAUGGAACAUGAUGGAAGAUAUUAUGGUAUAAAGAAUGUGUGUGUGUGUGUAUAUAUGUAUAUAUAUAUAUAUGAAUGACUGGGUCACUGUGCUGUAUGGCAGAAAGGGACACAACACUGUAAAUCAACUAUAAUAAAAGAUUUUUAGAAGAAUGAAAAAAGAUUUAAUAAUAUUUAUAGGAUCAUUUUUUAAAAAUGUAACAUAACAUUUCAUAUGCAUCUAUAAUAACAAACUCAACCUCCAGAUGAAUGAUAGAUACAUAUUUUUUUGUCUUUCUGUCUUUUCUAGGGCCGCACCCACGGCAUGUGGAGGUUCCCAAGAUAGGGGUCCAAUCAGAGCUGUAGCCACCAGCUUACACCAGAGCCACAGCAACGCCAGAUCUGAGCCGUGUCUGCGACCCACACCACAGCCAUGGCAACGCUGGUUCCUCAACCUACUGAGCGAGGCCAGGGAUCAAACCCGCAACCUCAUGGUUCCUAGUCAGAUUCGUUAACCACUGAGCCACGACGGGAACUC